rnacentral:rRNA from 1 species
AUUGAACGCUGGCGGCAUGCCUUACACAUGCAAGUCGAACGGCAGCGCGGGAGCAAUCCUGGUGGCGAGUGGCGAACGGGUGAGUAAAGUAUCGGAACGUGCCCAGUCGUGGGGGAUAACGUAGCGAAAGUUCCGCUAAUACCGCAUACGAUCUAUGGAUGAAAGCGGGGGAUCGCAAGACCUCGCGCGAUUGGAGCGGCCGAUAUCAGAUUAGGUAGUUGGUGGGGUAAAGGCUCACCAAGCCGACGAUCUGUAGCUGGUCUGAGAGGACGACCAGCCGCACUGGGACUGAGACACGGCCCAGACUCCUACGGGAGGCAGCAGUGAGGAAUUUUGGACAAUGGGCGCAAGCCUGAUCCAGCCAUGCCGCGUGCAGGAUGAAGGCCUUCGGGUUGUAAACUGCUUUUGUACGGAACGAAAAGGUUUGACUUAAUACGUUGGACUCAUGACGGUACCGUAAGAAUAAGCACCGGCUAACUACGUGCCAGCCGCCGCGGUAA